UGAGGUGUAGCUCAGUGGUAGAGUGCUUGCUUCACAUGCAGCAGGCUCUGGGUUUGAUUGCCAGCACCUAAG
rnacentral:tRNA from 1 species